GGAGACUGGAUUCCCGGGGAGCCGCGGGAUCCACGGCCGCGCACUUACCCGGGCUGUUGGCCUCUCCUUCCAGGACGUGCAGCUCGGCGCAGUCGGCCAGCGAGUGCUCCAGGCAGAGCUGAAGGAAGCGGGCCUGGGUCUGGCUUACGCGCUUGAGCAGCGACAGCAGUGCAACAGUCUGCUCGCACUCGUUCCAGCCCUUAAACCAGCCCGCCAGCACCCCGACCUGGUCGCGAAACAUCAUGGUUAGGGGGCCGCCCUCCGUCUACGAAGCCCCUUGGCGCUCCUGCCCGCCCCAAAGUUUGGCGGAGCCGCAGCCCCGUGGCCUCCCGAGACACGUUCUGGUUCCAAGGUCUCCGGUGCCCGGGCGCUGCAGGUACUGACUCUGCUCCUGCCUUGCUCUCCUCUCUCUAUCGGUUCAGUUACGUUCUGGUGGUUCUGGUUGAUUCUCCAGAGACGAUGACAGACAGUAGCGCGGAGAUAUUUUAAAAAAAAAAAAUAGCGAUUAAAAAUGUAAAUCCCUCGCAAGGCACAAAACUGAAUGAAGAUCGCUCCUUCCCCUUUUCUCGUAGCUUCAGGAUGGUGAUUUCCGGCGUCCUGGGGUCUCCUCCCCGCUGGGCGGCAGCUCGGACCCUUCACACCCGCAUUCCCAAGCGGCAAUCACUACUGAAAGGACAGAAAAAGCUGCAGUGAGACCUCGGCACGCGGACUGGAGCGUCUAGGGGGAUCCGGGAGUGAGAGGGAGCUCGGUAGGGGGUGUGUGGAAGCCAAGGCUGGGGGAAGGGGUGUCCCGCGAAGGGAAGUCCCCUAAAUUCCAGCCGGCCUCUCCACACUCGGAUGCGCGAGCUGAGCUAUUGCACACUUCCUUCCCAGGUGCGGGAGGAGACCCCGCGGCUUCCUGUUGCUGCGGCUGUGACCCGCAAGUGCUCCCUGCACACCCCACCCGGAGUGGCCUCUGGGGCUGUGUCUGCGAACGCCAGCACCAGCAACAGAUCCUCCCCGCGCUGAAAACUUGCAAUGCGGCUGUGAAGGGGCGCGGGGGUGGGGUGGGGGCUAAUGCAAAGCAGAGGCGGUGUCAGAGGCAACCAGGGUUCCAGCUUCCCUCCCUCCUCCCUCCUCCUCCUCCUCCCGGAGAAGCAGCCGUACGGCUGCAGCUCCAUCUACAGCAACAGCCAGCAUCUCCGCCGCCAGGCUCCCCUCUGGAUUUAGGCCGUGAGCAGCCGCAGCGACAGCUCGAGACAAAAAUAAACUCUCCCUAUCC
rnacentral:lncRNA from 1 species